CCUACGGGAGGCAGCAGUGAGGAAUAUUGGUCAAUGGGCGGGAGCCUGAACCAGCCAAGUAGCGUGAAGGAUGACGGCCCUACGGGUUGUAAACUUCUUUUAUAAGGGAAUAAAGUUCGCCACGUGUGGUGUUUUGUAUGUACCUUAUGAAUAAGCAUCGGCUAAUUCCGUGCCAGCAGCCGCGGUAAUACGGAAGAUGCGAGCGUUAUCCGGAUUUAUUGGGUUUAAAGGGAGCGUAGGCGGGCUUUUAAGUCAGCGGUCAAAUGCCACGGCUCAACCGUGGCCAGCCGUUGAAACUGCAAGCCUUGAGUCUGCACAGGGCACAUGGAAUUCGUGGUGUAGCGGUGAAAUGCUUAGAUAUCACGAAGAACUCCGAUCGCGAAGGCAUUGUGCCGGGGCAGCACUGACGCUGAGGCUCGAAAGU
rnacentral:rRNA from 1 species